AACCCAAAUUAAUAAAUUUACGGCGUAAAGAGUGUUAAUGCUAAUAACCCAAUAAAAUUAAUGAUUAACUAGGCUGUAAUACGCUGUAGUUACUAUAAAAAAAGACAAUUAAAAUGAUUUUAAUACUGCUGAUACACGACAGCUGGGGCACAAACUGGGAUUAGAUACCCCACUAUGCCCAGCUAUAAACUUUAAUAAUUUAAUAACAAAAUUAUUCGCCAGAGAACUACUAGCAAUUGCUUAAAACUCAAAGGACUUGGCGGUGCCCUAAACCCACCUAGAGGAGCCUGUUCUAUAAUCGAUAAACCCCGAUAAACCCAACCCUAUCUUGCCAAUA
rnacentral:rRNA from 1 species